AACGAACGCUGGCGGCGUGGAUUAGGCAUGCAAGUCGAACGGUAUCAUCCUUUCGGGGGUGAGAGAGUGGCGAACUGGUGAGUAACACGUAGGUUAUCUACCCUCAAGACGGGGACAACCCAGGGAAACUUGGGCUAAUACCGGAUGUGAGCAACUUUUAGUUGUUUGAAAGGUGGCGUAAGCUGUCGCUUGGGGAUGAGCCUGCGUCCUAUUAGUUAGUUGGUGAGGUAACGGCUCACCUAGGCAAUGAUAGGUAGGCGGCCUUAACGGGUGGUCGCCCACACUGGGAUUGAGAUACGGCCCAGACUCCUACGGGAGGCAGCAGUCGAGAAUAGUCUACAAUGGUCGGAAGACUGAUAGUGCGACGCCGCGUGAACGAUGAAUCCCUUCGGGGUGUAAAGUUCUUUUAUAUGUGAGCAGUGCUUCUUAUAUUAACAGUAUGGGGAGAGAGAUAUUAGCAUAUGAAUAAGCAACGGCUAACUCCGUGCCAGCAGCCGCGGUAAACUCGU
rnacentral:rRNA from 1 species